UACGGAGGGUGCAAGCGUUGCUCGGAAUUAUUGGGCGUAAAGGGUAGGUAGGUGGUCUCGUUUGUCAGGGGUGAAAGCCUUGGGCUUAACUCAAGAAGUGCCCCUGAAACGGCGAGACUCGAGUACUGGAGAGGCUAGUGGAAUUCCCGGUGUAGCGGUGAAAUGCGUAGAGAUCGGGAGGAACACCAGAGGCGAAGGCGGCUAGCUGGACAGUUACUGACACUCAACUACGAAAAGCUGGGGGAGAAACAGG
rnacentral:rRNA from 1 species